AAUUACACUCUCAUUUCACAUUUUCACAAGAUCAAACCAAAAACUCUCUCUUUUUCUCUCAUCUUCUUCAAGAACAACUCAACACAAACUCAUAAAAAGCUUGAUAAGUCUUCAUCCUUCACCUUCCAAUUUAUGCGCAAACUUCCUCAUCACCACAAAUCUCCUCUCCAGCGAGCCUCUCUGCCACUUGUCCACUGGUCGGCAUUGUAACUUCCGGUUGCUCCCUCCGUUUUUCCUCUGCGUGGUUUCCGAUUCGUCUUCGGUUCUCUCUCCGUCACUGCUAGCUAGCUCCUAUUGCUGCGAGUUGUUCCAGUGUUUAUUCCUUCCGAUCGCUUGA